UACGUAGGGACCGAGCGUUGUCCGGAAUCAUUGGGCGUAAAGAGCGUGUAGGCGGCCAUGCAGGUCCGUUGUGAAAACUCGAGGCUCAACCUCGAGACGCCGAUGGAAACCGCAUGGCUAGAGUCCGGAAGAGGAGAGUGGAAUUCCUGGUGUAGCGGUGAAAUGACGCAGAUAUCAGGAAGAACACCCGUGGCUAAGGCGGCUCUCUAGUACGGUACUGACGCUGAGACGCGAAAGCGUGGGGAGCGAACAGG
rnacentral:rRNA from 1 species